UUUUUUUUUUUUAAUUUUUUUUUUUUUAUUUACUUAUGAUAGUCACAGAGAGAGAGAGAGAGGCAGAGACACAGGCAGAGGGAGAAGCAGGCUCCAUGCACCAGGAGCCUGAUAUGGGAUUCGAUCCUGGGUCUCCAGGAUCGCGCCCUGGGCCAAAGGCAGGCGCCAAACCGCUGCGCCACCCAGGGAUCCCAGGCAGGCAUUCUCUAUUCUUCACCACACACACAGAAUUCCCAAGCAAUUCUUGACUGCUGAAUUCCAAGUACUUAUAACAGUACCUGACACAUAGUAGGCACUCAAUAAGUAUUUAUUGAAUACUGAAUAGAUGAGUUUUAAGUACUUUGUCCUAAACAUAGGCAGCCAGACUCACCAGAUAUCUGAGGAAAAUCUUUAACAUGAAAAACAAAGAACUAGGAAAAACCAAACACAGACUGAUAGAAGAAACUUAAAGGAAACAGAGGUAAUGGAGGGGAAAGACAAAAGUAUUACAAAAAGUAUACCUAAUUAAGAUUCUCAAAGAGAUAAGAGAUCCAGAACCCAAAAAAUGUAAAAUAAUACCUGAAAAUAUAAUUAUAUCAGAAUUACACACACACACACACAGACACUAUUCCUUCCUUCAUUUCACAUAUGAGAAAAUUGAGAUAAAGCCCAUUUAGGUAACACAGGAACAGACUUUGAGCUGAACCCAGGAAACACUGCAGUGCUGCCUCAGAUGCAGAUCCUUGAUAUUUACACAUUUGUCUGAGCCAUCCUCCUCUCUCAAGCCUCUGCUAUCCUCCCUACAAGUCAAAAUUCUGCUCAUUUCCCAGGGCCAGCUCCCCUCAUAAACCCGUCUGUGAACACAGCUGAUCAUACUAUCUGUAUUCCUCAAACACUGAUAAUCUGUAGCAUCUAUUUUAUUACUGAAUUAUGUGAUUGCUUUGUUAUCUAGUUGGCUUUUUAAAAAUAUUCAUAAUUCUGUCCUCCCCAACAAGAGCAAAUCCCAAGGGACGGAAACUUUUCAGGAGUCUUUAUCAAAAGGCUAAGCACACAAGAGUCACUUUAGAAAAAUCUGCUGACUUGAGUCUAACUAGAGUGUUUACUUGAUUAUUUCAUGGCUCAAUAUUUGGAACAUUCCAAACUCAUAAGAUCUACUUGACAAAAGUGUCUUGUUACUUCAGCCCUUGGUGUAGUUGAUUUGUCAUUAUCAUACACAACUCAUAGUCUGGCAGUAGUAGACAAAAGCAAAUAUCCUGCACGCUGUGUUUGACAUAAAACAAGAAUGACCUGGAUAAACAGGUAUCACUUUAUAACACAGGUCUCUCUUGAGAAAGAGAAAGUAAUUCUCUAUCUUUCCAAUAUGUUUAUGCUAUAAAUGGUUAGGUAGUUCUUGGUGGUUUUAUGGCUUGAUGUGACAUUUUAUCAAGUUUUUUCUGGGCCAGUGUUUUCAUACUAUAAGUAUGUAUCUCUCAGUAUCAUUAGUGGUAACCAAACACCUUCAAGUCAAACAUAGAAUCCCAUUUUUGGAAUAUAUUAGAGACAUAUUUUUUUAGCUAAACAUACAGUAUUAAUGCUUAUUAAAUAUCCACUUUGGACUUAGCAGUAUCCUAAGAUCUGUGGUAAAAUUAUGCAAGAAACAAAAGACCUAGUCCUUACCCUCAAAGAGCAUACAGUUGAAUUUAUUUGUAUUUUAUAUGUUAAAAUAUGACUGAGUUUUAUAUGUUGAAAUACGAUUGCUAAUUAAAACACUUUGAAGUUAAUGCAAACCAUCUUUGUUUCUUAAAACAACAGUGAAUAUUUUAGCAAGAUUGAAAAACUGGCCACUGUACAAAGCCUUUGUCUUUUAAAUUUAUUUAUAUAUGUAUGGAUGGAUGGAUAUAUACAUAUGUAUGUAUGCAUGUAUGCAUGGACUUUCACAGGGCAGUUAUACAUAUUUAUGCCUUUUGAAAUAUUGCCUAGCACAUGUAUCUGAAAACCAGAGAAGAUUUGAGACAGUCAUCUUAAAUUCUCCGGUAAAUAUUUUAUGAUUUAUAGUUUUCCAUUUAUGGAAGGAUUUGGGUUGGGAAACUAUAGAUGAUCAAAUGAUUGCUUGGAAAUGUCAGGGAAGAAACAGAUAAGGUACUUCUAAAUGGAUAAUUCAAUGUAAUAGUGCUGAAGAAACAUCUUGCUUCUUAGGUCUACCUAAAUCUAUACAUAAUAAAUCUUAUAUUUUAAAUGUAUUGUAAAGCAUAAAGUGCUUUCCCAUAGCUGAUCUCAUUUUGAUUUUGGUCCAAACACAUAUAAAUAUAUUCUAUUAUGUAUAUACAAACUAGAGGUACACAUUCAUGUCAAUUCAAGAUAGAAUAGAAUACAGUCAUAAAUCAAGUCUCAUUGAUGAGCUAUAACAGAAGCAUUUAUUUUUUGUUCGUUUAUGUUUUGUCUUUCCCUUGGAAUUAGAGGUUUGAGGUGUCAUUAUUUAGAGAUUUUAUCUUCCUAAUGUUUAACCCCCAAGAUUUUGUGGGUCUUUUUAAUUUUUCAGCUGAAAAGAACUACAAUUCUUGGAAAUGUCUGGUUUUCUCUAUGAUCUAAAACAGGCAGCCCUUCCUCUCUUACCUAGAACAACACUGCCAGAACUAAAUGCUACAUCAACAUUUGGGUUCACAGAUCACAAGAGGGAGUAGCAAGGUAAUCCAGAACUACUUAUAACCACACCGGGAAGAUCCUUUCCAGUGUAUGUUCUAGUGGGGAGCACAAUCAUCUUCACAUCUACCAUUAUAAUUAUCAAUAAUCAUUAUCAGAGGAGUUUUUAUUUUUAUUUUUAUUUAUUUAUUUAUUUUUCAGAGGAGUUUUUAGAAACCUAAUUAUAAAAAGUGAAGAAGACAUCUAAGCAAAGUUCACAAAAAUCACACUCUAACGCUGAACAUUAAAGGAAUAAGCAGUCUGUGACAAACACUAAUAGAAAAAAAUUCCUGGCCAGAAUAGGUGCAUAUACAAACUGCGAUUUUAAAGCCAAUCAUAGUAUCAAGCAACUGUUUAAGAAGAAACAAGAGGUGGGGGCGGCUCAGUGAUUGUGUGUCUGCCUUUGGCUCAGGUCAUGAUCCCCACGUCCUCGGAUGGAUUCCCACAUCAGGCUGCCCACAGGGAGCCUGCUUCUCCCUCUGCCUAUAUCUCUGCCUCUCUCUCUCAUGAAUAAAUAAAUAAAAUCUCAAAAAAAAAAAAAAAGAAAAGAAAAGGAGAAACAGGAGGUAUAAACAGCUCAUAAUUCUGACCCUGUCACUUCGGUGAAAAAGACUUGAAAUUUCAUGCAUUAUUGACAUGUUUUUAGUUUAGUUGUUAAUACAAAUCUACUAAACCAGACUUUCACUAACAUUGUUUCUUUAUAGCUUCUUGAUAUGCCAUAGCAAUGUCCUGGGAAAGUAUAAAUGGAAACAGACAAACUCAUGACAGUUAACAAUUUUGCAAAUGACAGAUUUGACUAGGCUGCAUUCAUUGAUACAACACACAAAUCUUCACAGAGGUUUUCUUUGCCUUCGGGAAUAUAUGCUUAUGAACCACAGUGAACAUUCACACUGAAGGGGAGAAAAUAUUAGGGAGUUGAAAGUUGAAGUUUGUCUCUUCAUGUUUGUUGGACCCUUUUUUGAUCAUUAUUUAAGGGAGUCAAAGACCAUUAGGGAAAGCUAAUAGCCUUUAGAACCCUCAGAUUAUACUGAUGUUACUGAUGGGAGAGUUAAGGCAAAUUGCAUUCUCAAAAUGGCUCUGGGAACAUACCACUUCCAGUAAUGGUCCUAUCAACCAGACCUAAAAGCAGAGAGGGCAGGGAUGCACUUAAAGGCAA
rnacentral:lncRNA from 1 species